CAGUUUUAUACUGAAAUUAAACUUAAUGCAGUUUUGCCACAAGAAUAAAUUUGACGAGUCUAUGAGGACAUCCAAGAGUGUUCUAUAAAAUGGUCCAAUCAAAGUGCCUAGAGGCCUAGACUACAAGUACACAAGGACAAACAACUGUCUGGUUAGUGUUCUCCUCGAUUCAAGUUCAUCUAUUUUUUUUCUUUAUUACUAUAGUUUUAAGAUUUUUUAGAAUGUAUAUUAAAUAAUUGAACGACCAAAUGUUAUAUUAAUGUAUUUAAAUUCUCAAAAUUUUGAUAAUGACAAAAUAGAAAGAGCAAAAAAAAUAGAGAGGAUCU
rnacentral:lncRNA from 1 species